GGAGAAGUAGAGGAGAGGAAACAGGCCAGCAUAAUCCCACAUUCUGAAAUUUUUACUAAUUAGAAACCAUUUGCUUGAAACAUGGCAAGAUCAGUAUUCCCAGAGAAAAAAAAAUCCCCUCUGAUCAAUAGAAUUCCAGUUUUAUUUUUGAUUUUCAGAAGACUCAGUCAUCGCUUUGAUGUCAGUGGUCAGGAGUAUCUCCUCUUUGUAAAUUUUGGAGUGAAGAAAAUAUCAAAACCUUUGUUUACUCUGCUGACUUGAUAGAUACCAAGAGGAGCAACUCUGUAGGGAUGAAGGGUAACUUGGAAAAGAAGCACUUUCAAAAUAAAACGAGCCGAAACAGGAAGUUCUCAACCGGGUUCUCCCACAAGUGCCAUGAGCCGAUGGCGGACAAUGGCCUGCUUCUUUGUCUGGCGAACGGCCACAUUAUUCUGCUUGUAAGAGAUGUUUUUGGACGUGGUAAACAUGGGUGACACUAAGUUGCUCAGUUGGGAACUUGGGUUUAAAGAACAACCUUCAGCCUUUGUGUCCUACCUCACCAAGAUCAAGCACCUCAGCCUUGCACUGCUUCCUGGAAGCGAGAUCCAGUCAGCACACUCCUAUAAAUGUCACCUUGGAUACAUUCCACUCAGGGAGAAAAAAAGAGAGAAAGGUCCAGCUCUGUCUGAUUGAUGGGCUCCCAAGAAUUUGCUCAAAAACCAUUUGCCGAAGAAGAAAGACAAAUCAGUGGGGCUGACUUCUUCCCCUGAAAUACUACUUCUAAUAAUGUUGGUAAGGGGUCUAUUUUUACACACAAUUUACAAAUUAUUUCUGGCAUAUUAAUGGAUUUUUGCCUAUUUAGAUGUUAUUUGUAUGAAAUGUGCUUAGUUUAAAAGUCAAAUACUACUACAAGACCUUUAAAGAAAA
rnacentral:lncRNA from 1 species